UACACAAUGAAUUUUCCGAUA
rnacentral:piRNA from 1 species